GCCACGAGUAAUUCGUGUCUGAAAUUGUCAGUCGGUCGGCCAUUUUUUCAGAGACCAUAAUCCAUUUUCCGACAUGAAAGUGUCACACACAAAAUGGACGGUACGAGGAGACACAACGGAAAUUCCGGUCUAUGUUGUGUCCUGUACUCACUACCCGCUCCCGAAUCCACAGGACCUGCUGCACCCACUAGACGUACAGUGGGACCCCCAGUGUGUGAGGGAAGAGGAGGUCAGCGCCAUCCUUCAGGCUUACUGGACAUCGCUGGCAGCUACACUACCACAGGACUGACGCCUUUAAAAUGAAUGGCAAAGAGCUCCAUAGAUUGAGGGCAGAGCUGAAAAGCGCUCGAGUGCGGGCAAACACCACGACCUGGAGCAAGCGCAAAGAGGCCAAUAAGCACAUUACAAAAAUAAAGUCAGAAAUUAACAUGAUUGGAAAAAAAAAAAAAGGAUGGACAUUCCGACCAAAAACUAAGUAACCAGGAGAGGUUUGAGGAGAUGAAGGGGUUAGGUGACCCUACAGCUGGAGCUGAUGAGGAUGGUGACCCCAUUAUGACCCAGGAUCCAUCACAGGGGUCUCAGAGCGGGAUCUGCCCCGGACAAGGACCUCCGGCCUCAGCGCCAGGAUCCUGGAGGAGCUCGGAGGAUGACAGCAUUGACGCCGGGGGGAGACUCAUGGCAGUUA